rnacentral:rRNA from 1 species
UACGUAGGGUGCGAGCGUUGUCCGGAAUUAUUGGGCGUAAAGAGCUCGUAGGCGGUCUGUCGCGUCGAUCGUGAAAACUUGGGGCUUAACCCUGAGCUUGCGGUCGAUACGGGCAUGACUGGAGUUCGGCAGGGGAGACUGGAAUUCCUGGUGUAGCGGUGAAAUGCGCAGAUAUCAGGAGGAACACCGGUGGCGAAGGCGGGUCUCUGGGCCAUUACUGACGCUGAGACGCGAAAGCGUGGGGAGCAAACAGG